rnacentral:rRNA from 1 species
UAAUACAGAGGUCCCGAGCGUUGUUCGGAUUCACUGGGCGUAAAGGGUGCGUAGGUGGUGAGGUAAGUCGGAUGUGAAAUCUCCGGGCUCAACCCGGAAAUGGCAUUGGAAACUACCUUGCUGGAGGAUUUGAGGGGGGAUUGGAAUACUUGGUGUAGCAGUGAAAUGCGUAGAUAUCAAGUGGAACACCAGUGGCGAAGGCGAAUCCCUGGAAAAUACCUGACACUGAGGCACGAAAGCUAGGGGAGCAAACAGGAUUAGAUACCCUGGUAGUCCUAGCCCUAAACGGUGCUUGCUUGCUGUAAGAGGAAUCGACCCCUCUUGUGGCGGAGCUAACGCGUUAAGCAAGCCGCCUGGGAAGUACGGUCGCAAGAUUA